ACACUAAGGAUCAUGUGAAAGAGCUCCCUGAGGACAGAUUAAGAAGAGAUGAGUUAAAGCUGCAAAUACCAAGAUUUAAGGUUAAGUAUGAAGAAUUUCCUGAUACAGAAAAUUCUUUAGCCCUGGAAUUGAAUAUCAAAAGACUCUUUCCCCAACGUUGACCUCCAAACAAACUUUGCUGGGUUGUUCAAACCGCUUUGUUUCCUGUAAGUGUUCAUUGAUCUCUGUGAGUGGAUGAUGGUUGAUUACACACUUUGUCCGUGAUUAAACUAAGAAACUUCUGUUCAAAAGAUUCAGUAUAAUUUCUCUUUCCAUGAAUAUAUGGAAUUAUAGUGAUUUUAACCUAUAUAGACCAAGAUAACUUUGUGAUCCAAAUGGUCAGGUGUCAUAUUUAAAAAAUAUAUGCAUAUAGUUUAAAGCAAUUAAAUAUCCUUACUCAGUUUCUUAUGCGGAUGUGUAAGAGUAGCAACUGGUCGUGAGGGUCCAUCUUCUAUGGCUCUUUCACGUGUCUGUGUGUUUUGUGAAGCAAAGCAUCGACUUCCCCUUGUUCUAAACUAUCUUUUGAAGGAUGCUUGUAUAGUAUAAUUAACGGCUUUGGACAAUAGAGAUUGUAUCUCCCUCUGGAACAGGGGUGUCUGAUCUUUUGGCUUCCCUGGGCCACAUUGGAAGAAGAAUUGUCUUGUGCCACAUAUAAAAAACAUACUCACUAUAGCUGAUGAGCUGAAAAAAAAAUCGCAAAAAACCCUCAUAACGUUUUAAGAAAGUUUACCAAUUUGUGUUGGGUUGCAUUCAAAGCCAUUCUAGUCCACGUGUGGCCCGUGGGCUGCAGGUUGGACAAGCUUGCUCUAAAACAAAGGGCUGAUUUUCUUAUUGUUUUGUGUGGUAGGCAGUAUAAUGGCUCCCCCAAGAUGUCCAGAACUUAAUCCCAGGAACCUGUGAAUAUGUUACCUUGCAUAACAAAUGAAAAUUUAUGUUACAGAUGAAAUUAAGAAUGCUGAUCAACUAAAGGACCUUCACAUACAAAGGUUAUCCUGGAUUAUUCAGAUUUGGAUGGCAAAUUGUCUUUCUGCAAUUGUAUUAUGGCUGCCAUUGCAAUUAAGAAAUGGAAAAUACAUUUCUGAAAUCCAACAAAGUCUGAUCUUAUCAGCAUCAGAACCAUGUAUGGAAGGAGAAAACAGAACUCACACUUAAGAGGAUGGCCAAAUAGAAAGACCAGCCGAGUGGAAAAAGUCCUCCUAAGUGGAGCAGUUGAACCUUGGGAAUAUAUCAGCCUUAGAAAAUUGCAGCUGGAGACAUCUGUCAUUUCCCCUGGUAACCAGCAUUCUACCCUCUACCACCAUGGGAUCCACUUUUUUAGCUCCCACUGAUGAAUGAGAACAUGUGACAUUUGUCUUUCUGUGCCAAGAAGCUCCGUAGUUUUAGCUUUCACAUAUUGAUAGAUCUACAGUAUAUCUGGAACUGAUAUUUGCAUAUGAUGUGAGGCAGAAGCUCAAGAUCCACAUUUUCACCUGUGUUUACCCAACUGAUUCAUAUCCAGUUGACCCAGGAACACUGACUAAAAAGAAUAUCCUUUUCCUAACUAAUCGUGUGUUACUUUUAUCAUACAUCAAGUGGACUCUUUUCUUUUCCACUGACUAAUAUCUAUCCUUUCACCAAUUCUCUUAAUUACUGCAGCAAUAUAAUAAAUCUUGAUACCUGAAAGUGAAAGUCUGACUGUUCUUUGUAUUACUAUGCAAAUAUUUGAACCAGCUUGUUAAAUUCAUUAAAAAUAUAUUUAGCUGGGAU